rnacentral:lncRNA from 10 species
AACCCGAUAGAACAAGAUCAGAAGUGGCAGUCUAUAACUGAAAAUGUGGUAAAGUACUUGAAGCAAACAUCCCGCAUCGCUGUUGGACCUCUGAGACUUUCUACUUUAACAGUUUCACAGUCUUUGCCAGUUCUAAGUACCUUGCAGCUGUAUUGCUCACCUGCUUUGGAGAACACAGUUUCUAACAGACUUUAAACAGAGGACUGUCUUAUUCCACUCUUCGGUGAAGCUUUACGUUCAUGUAAACAGCAUGAUGUGAGGCCAUGGAUGCAGGCAGUAAGGUAUACUAUGUACCAGAAUCAGUUGUUGGAGAAAAAUUAAAGUUAAGUGGUUUUCCUUUUUUUUUUUGUAAGAGAAAAUUAAAGGUGUUUUUUUUUUUAAAUUUUGCUUUAUUGAGGUUUAUAUUACACAUUCUAAGUGUAUGGUUUGAUGAGUUCUAACAUGUCUUCACUUGUGUGACCACCAAUACGAUUGAGAUACAGAACACCGUCUUACCCCAGAAGGUUCCCUUGGGAUCAUCUCCUCAUUUGGCCCUGUCAGCAGUUACUCAUUUGCUUUCUGUCACUAUGGAUUAGACUUGUCUUUACUAAAGUUUCAUGUACGUGAAAUCAUAACAACA